rnacentral:rRNA from 1 species
AGUGAACGCUGGCGGUAGGCCUAACACAUGCAAGUCGAACGGCAGCACAGUAAGAGCUUGCUCUUACGGGUGGCGAGUGGCGGACGGGUGAGGAAUACAUCGGAAUCUACUUUUUCGUGGGGGAUAACGUAGGGAAACUUACGCUAAUACCGCAUACGACCUACGGGUGAAAGCAGGGGAUCUUCGGACCUUGCGCGAUUGAAUGAGCCGAUGUCGGAGUAGCUAGUUGGCGGGGUAAAGGCCCACCAAGGCGACGAUCCGUAGCUGGUCUGAGAGGAUGAUCGGCCACACUGGAACUGAGACACGGUCCAGACUCCUACGGGAGGCAGCAGUGGGGAAUAUUGGACAAUGGGCGCAAGCAUGAUCCAGCCAUACCGCGUGGGUGAAGAAGGCGUUCGGGUUGUAAAGCCCUUUUGUUGGGAAAGAAAAGCAGCAGGUUAAUACCCCGCUGUUCUGACGGUACCCAAAGAAUAAGCACCGGCUAACUUCGUG